GACGAACCGUGCAAACGUUAUUCGGAAUCACUGGGCUUAAAGCGUGCGUAGGCGGCUCAGAAAGUUGGGUGUGAAAUCCCUCGGCUCAACCGAGGAAUUGCGCUCAAAACUACUGAGCUCGAGGGAGUUAGAGGUGAGCGGAACUAAUGGUGGAGCGGUGAAAUGCGUUGAUAUCAUUAGGAACACCGGUGGCGAAAGCGGCUCACUGGGACUCUUCUGACGCUGAUGUACGAAAGCUAGGGUAGCGAACGGG
rnacentral:rRNA from 1 species